rnacentral:rRNA from 1 species
UACGGAGGGUGCGAGCGUUGUUCGGAAUCACUGGGCGUAAAGGGCGCGUAGGCGGCUCGGUAAGUCGGGGGUGAAAUCCUGCGGCUUAACCGCAGGGCUGCCUUCUAAACUGUCGAGCUCGAGCACGGUAGAGGCAGAUGGAAUUCCCGGUGUAGCGGUGGAAUGCGUAGAGAUCGGGAAGAACACCGGUGGCGAAGGCGGCUCUCUGGGCCUGUCCUGACGCUCAGGCGCGAAAGCUAGGGGAGCAAACAGG